CAAGGCUUGACAUAUACAGGAAUAUGGCAGAGAUGUCAUAGCCGCAAGGUCUGUAUACAGGUGGUGCAUGGUUGUCGUCAGCUCGUGUCGUGAGAUGUUGGGUUAAGUCCCGCAACGAGCGCAACCCUCGUUCUGUGUUGCCAGCAUUUAGUUGGGGACUCACAGGAGACUGCCGGGGUUAACUCGGAGGAAGGUGGGGAUGACGUCAAAUCAUCAUGCCCCUUAUGUCUUGGGCUGCACGCAUGCUACAAUGGCUGGUACAAACGGCUGCAAUACCGCAAGGUGGAGCGAAUCCGAGAAAGCCAGUCUCAGUUCGGAUUGGGGUCUGCAACUCGACCCCAUGAAGUCGGAGUUGCUAGUAAUCGUAGAUCAGCAACG
rnacentral:rRNA from 1 species